rnacentral:rRNA from 1 species
UAGCCUACGGGACGCAGCAGUGGGGAAUAUUGGACAAUGGGGGGAACCCUGAUCCAGCGACGCCGCGUGAGUGAAGAAGUAUUUCGGUAUGUAAAGCUCUGGCAGCAGGGAAGAAAGAAAUGACGGAACCUGACUAAGAAGCCACGGCUAACUACGUGCCAGCAGACGCGAUAAUACGUAGGGGGCAAGCGUUAUCCGGAUUUACUGGGUGUGAGGGGAGCGUAGACGGAUACGCAAGUCUGGAGUGAAAGGCGGGGGCACAAACACC